GCAGGUACAGCUCAGUGGGAGAGCAUGCGCUUAGCAUGAGUGAGGUCCUGGGUUCAAUCCCCAGCACCUCCA
rnacentral:tRNA from 1 species